rnacentral:rRNA from 1 species
AUUGAACGCUGGCGGCAGGCUUAACACAUGCAAGUCGAGCGGUAACAGGGGGUGCUUGCACCCCGCUGACGAGCGGCGGACGGGUGAGUAAUGCAUAGGAAACUGCCCAGUAGUGGGGGAUAGCCCGGGGAAACCCGGAUUAAUACCGCGUACGCCUUCGGGGGAAAGCAGGGGAUCUUCGGACCUUGCGCUAUUGGAUGUGCCUAUGUCGGAUUAGCUAGUUGGUGGGGUAAAGGCCUACCAAGGCGACGAUCCGUAGCUGGUCUGAGAGGAUGAUCAGCCACAUCGGGACUGAGACACGGCCCGAACUCCUACGGGAGGCAGCAGUGGGGAAUAUUGGACAAUGGGGGCAACCCUGAUCCAGCCAUGCCGCGUGUGUGAAGAAGGCUUACGGGUUGUAAAGCACUUUCAGUGAGGAGGAAAACUCUGCGACUAAUACUCGUAGGGCUUGACGUUACUCACAGAAGAAGCACCGGCUAACUCCGUGCCAGCAGCCGCGGUAAUACGGAGGGGUGCAAGCGUUAAUCGGAAUUACUGGGCGUAAAGCGCGCGUAGGUGGUUUGAUAAGCGAGAUGUGAAAGCCCCGGGCUUAACCUGGGAACGGCAUUUCGAACUGUCAGGCUAGAGUAUGGUAGAGGGUA